UACAGAGGUCCCAAGCGUUGUUCGGAUUCACUGGGCGUAAAGGGCGUGUAGGCGGUCCGCUAAGUCUGAUGUGAAAGCCCGGGGCUCACCCCCGGAAGUGCAUUGGAAACUGGCGAACUCGAGUCCCGGAGAGGAGGGUGGAAUUCCUGGUGUAGCGGUGAAAUGCGUAGAUAUCAGGAGGAACACCGGUGGCGAAGGCGGCCCUCUGGACGGUGACUGACGCUGAGACGCGAAAGCGUGGGGAGCAAACAGG
rnacentral:rRNA from 1 species